UUGCCACAGAAUGAGACAGCAGAGGUCAUCAAAGCCGCCUGAGGCUACAGCUGAGCGCCGUGAGAACCAUCGCCACCGAAAGAGACUGAAGAAGUCAUGUGAGCCACCUCAGGUUACAGCUGAACAUCACUGGGUGCGUCAUCCACACUGCAAGUGAAGGGAGAAGAAACCAUGUGUAUUUCACUCAACUGUUUUGAAGUCUUCAAAUGGCCAUUAAAACUCACCAUGCAGCACCUCUAACAUGGACAUGCA